AUCUUGUAUCUGUGGUCAGCAAAUGACUAUUCAAAGAUUUGAGCGGUGUCUAGAUAAACACAUUUGGUGAUGCUGCAGCUGUAAGAAGACGAAGACUAUACGAAGUGGUUUUUUCGAAUGUUCAACAUCUUUAAGUGUUAGUGAUAUACUUCUACUUAUGUUAAUAUGGGUUUCAGAGGUCCCUGUUACUGCUGCUGCUGAAUUAGUAGGGAUAAGCCAACCAACUUCAGUUCAGUGGUAUUAGUAUUUCAAAGACAUCUGCUCAUUCAAAGUUUUAAAUGUUACAGCUGUAAACCAGCUGGGAGGUCCAGGACACAUAGUUUAAAUUGAUGAAUCUUUGUUUUUCAAACGCAAUUAUAAUGUAGGUCACAACGUUGAAAAGCAUUGGAUUUUUGGGGCUUAUGAUAGAACAACUUAAAAAAGAGUAUUUGACUAGGGUAGAGGAUUGAACUGCAACUAUACAAUCAGAUGAAUGGGCUUCGUACAAUAAUUUAAGCAACUUAGGCUAUAUUCAUUCAACUGUUAACCAUACCACAAACUUUGUCGACCCUGAAAUAGGGACAAUAACAAACCCAAAGAUUGCUUUUGGUUCUCAAGGUGAUAUGAAAUUGUCAAGGUUGGAUGAGGCAGUAUAUAGGGAAUAUUAUGAGUUUAAAAAAAAAGACUUAUGGCAAAAUUUCAUUAUGUUCCUGGAUCAAAUUUUCUCAAAUGAUCAUAUAUUGUGUUACACUGAUGAUGAGAAGAUAGACAUACUGAUGAUGAGAAGAACAUACAUGGAAAAAAGCUUAAAACGACGAGAUUAAGAAAAAAAAGACAUUUGAAGAUUGAAAGAUGGUGAAAAUUUCGAAUAAAAAAAAAAGUUAGUGAAAGAUAAGUAAUAAAGAAUAUCAGAACAUUUAUUUUAAAAGCAAUAAUAUAUUGUAAUUG